UUGGAGGGCAAGUCUGGUGCCAGCAGCCGCGGUAAUUCCAGCUCCAAUAGCGUAUAUUAAAGUUGUUGCAGUUAAAAAGCUCGUAGUUGAAUUUCGGGGUUCCACCGUUGGUCGGGCUAUUGUUUGUACUGGCGUGUGGAAUUUCUACCUUCUGGGGAACUAUCAUGUUAUUAAUUUAGCGUGGUAGGAAACCAGGACCUUUACCUUGAAAAAAUUAGAGUGUUUAAAGCAGGCAAUCGCUUGAAUACAUUAGCAUGGAAUAAUGAAAUAGGACGUUCGAUCCUAUUUUGUUGGUUUCUAGGAUUGACGUAAUGAUUAAUAGGGAUAGUUGGGGGCAUUAGUAUUCAAUUGUCAGAGGUGAAAUUCUUGGAUUUAUUGAAGACUAACUACUGCGAAAGCAUUUGCCAAGGAUGUUUUCAUUAAUCAAGAACGAAAGUUAGGGGAUCGAAGACGAUCAGAUACCGUCGUAGUCUUAACCAUAAACUAUGCCGACUAGGGAUCGGAUGAUGUUAAUUUUUUAAUGACUCAUUCGGCGCCUUACGGGAAA
rnacentral:rRNA from 1 species